rnacentral:rRNA from 1 species
GGGUUGUGAGGUUAAGCGACUAAGCGUACACGGUGGAUGCCUAGGCAGUCAGAGGCGAUGAAGGGCGUGCUAAUCUGCGAAAAGCGUCGGUAAGCUGAUAUGAAGCGUUAUAACCGACGAUACCCGAAUGGGGAAACCCAGUGCAAUACGUUGCACUAUCGUUAGAUGAAUACAUAGUCUAACGAGGCGAACCGGGGGAACUGAAACAUCUAAGUACCCCGAGGAAAAGAAAUCAACCGAGAUUCCCCCAGUAGCGGCGAGCGAACGGGGAGGAGCCCAGAGUCUGAAUCAGUUUGUGUGUUAGUGGAAGCGUCUGGAAAGUCGCACGGUACAGGGUGAUAGUCCCGUACACCAAAAUGCACAGGCUGUGAACUCGAUGAGUAGGGCGGGACACGUGACAUCCUGUCUGAAUAUGGGGGGACCAUCCUCCAAGGCUAAAUACUCCUGACUGACCGAUAGUGAACCAGUACCGUGAGGGAAAGGCGAAAAGAACCCCGGCGAGGGGAGUGAAAUAGAACCUGAAACCGUGUACGUACAAGCAGUGGGAGCACCUUCGUGGUGUGACUGCGUACCUUUUGUAUAAUGGGUCAGCGACUUAUAUUUUGUAGCAAGGUUAACCGAAUAGGGGAGCCGUAGGGAAACCGAGUCUUAACUGGGCGUCUAGUUGCAAGGUAUAGACCCGAAACCCGGUGAUCUAGCCAUGGGCAGGUUGAAGGUUGGGUAACACUAACUGGAGGACCGAACCGACUAAUGUUGAAAAAUUAGCGGAUGACUUGUGGCUGGGGGUGAAAGGCCAAUCAAACCGGGAGAUAGCUGGUUCUCCCCGAAAGCUAUUUAGGUAGCGCCUCGUGAACUCAUCUUCGGGGGUAGAGCACUGUUUCGGCUAGGGGGCCAUCCCGGCUUACCAAACCGAUGCAAACUCCGAAUACCGAAGAAUGUUAUCACGGGAGACACACGGCGGGUGCUAACGUCCGUCGUGAAGAGGGAAACAACCCAGACCGCCAGCUAAGGUCCCAAAGUCAUGGUUAAGUGGGAAACGAUGUGGGAAGGCACAGACAGCCAGGAUGUUGGCUUAGAAGCAGCCAUCAUUUAAAGAAAGCGUAAUAGCUCACUGGUCGAGUCGGCCUGCGCGGAAGAUGUAACGGGGCUAAACCAUGCACCGAAGCUGCGGCAGCGACACUUAGGUGUUGUUGGGUAGGGGAGCGUUCUGUAAGCCGUUGAAGGUGACCUGUGAGGGUUGCUGGAGGUAUCAGAAGUGCGAAUGCUGACAUAAGUAACGAUAAUGCGGGUGAAAAACCCGCACGCCGGAAGACCAAGGGUUCCUGUCCAACGUUAAUCGGGGCAGGGUGAGUCGACCCCUAAGGCGAGGCUGAAAAGCGUAGUCGAUGGGAAACAGGUUAAUAUUCCUGUACUUGGUGUUACUGCGAAGGGGGGACGGAGAAGGCUAGGCUGGCCGGGCGACGGUUGUCCCGGUUUAAGCGUGUAGGGGGAGUGACCAGGUAAAUCCGGUUGCUUAUCAACCCUGAGGCGUGAUGACGAUGCACUACGGUGCAGAAGCAGUUGAUGCCAUGCUUCCAGGAAAAGCCUCUAAGCAUCAGGUAACAUUAAAUCGUACCCCAAACCGACACAGGUGGUCAGGUAGAGAAUACUCAGGCGCUUGAGAGAACUCGGGUGAAGGAACUAGGCAAAAUGGUGCCGUAACUUCGGGAGAAGGCACGCUGGCGUUAGGUGAAAGGACUAGCUCCUGGAGCUGAAGCCAGUCGCAGAUACCAGCUGGCUGCAACUGUUUAAUAAAAACACAGCACUGUGCAAACACGAAAGUGGACGUAUACGGUGUGACGCCUGCCCGGUGCUGGAAGGUUAAUUGAUGGGGUCAGCCGCAAGGCGAAGCUCUUGAUCGAAGCCCCAGUAAACGGCGGCCGUAACUAUAACGGUCCUAAGGUAGCGAAAUUCCUUGUCGGGUAAGUUCCGACCUGCACGAAUGGCGUAAUGAUGGCCAGGCUGUCUCCACCCGAGACUCAGUGAAAUUGAACUCGCUGUGAAGAUGCAGUGUACCCGCGGCAAGACGGAAAGACCCCGUGAACCUUUACUAUAGCUUGACACUGAACAUUGAGCCUUGAUGUGUAGGAUAGGUGGGAGGCCUUGAAGUGUGGACGCCAGUCUGCAUGGAGCCAACCUUGAAAUACCACCCUUUAAUGUUUGAUGUUCUAACUCGGCCCCAUGAUCUGGGGUGAGGACAGUGUCUGGUGGGUAGUUUGACUGGGGCGGUCUCCUCCCAAAGAGUAACGGAGGAGCACGAAGGUUAGCUAAUCACGGUCGGACAUCGUGAGGUUAGUGCAAAGGCAUAAGCUAGCUUGACUGCGAGAGUGACGGCUCGAGCAGGUACGAAAGUAGGUCUUAGUGAUCCGGUGGUUCUGAAUGGAAGGGCCAUCGCUCAACGGAUAAAAGGUACUCCGGGGAUAACAGGCUGAUACCGCCCAAGAGUUCAUAUCGACGGCGGUGUUUGGCACCUCGAUGUCGGCUCAUCACAUCCUGGGGCUGAAGUAGGUCCCAAGGGUAUGGCUGUUCGCCAUUUAAAGUGGUACGCGAGCUGGGUUUAGAACGUCGUGAGACAGUUCGGUCCCUAUCUGCCGUGGGCGUUGGAAGAUUGAGAGGGGCUGCUCCUAGUACGAGAGGACCGGAGUGGACGAAUCACUGGUGUUCGGGUUGUCAUGCCAAUGGCAUUGCCCGGUAGCUAAAUUCGGAAGAGAUAACCGCUGAAAGCAUCUAAGCGGGAAACUUGCCUCGAGAUGAGUCUUCCCUGGGGCUUAAAGCCCCCUGAAGGAACGUUAAAGACUAUGACGUUGAUAGGCUGGGUGUGUAAGUGCAGCGAUGUAUUGAGCUAACCAGUACUAAUGAUCCGUGAGGCUUAACCUUACAACACCGAAGGUGUUU